rnacentral:rRNA from 1 species
GGCAGUGGCGGGGUGCUAUACAUGCAAGUCGAACGAACUCUGGUAUUGAUUGGUGCUUGCAUCAUGAUUUACAUUUGAGUGAGUGGCGAACUGGUGAGUAACACGUGGGAAACCUGCCCAGAAGCGGGGGAUAACACCUGGAAACAGAUGCUAAUACCGCAUAACAACUUGGACCGCAUGGUCCGAGCUUGAAAGAUGGCUUCGGCUAUCACUUUUGGAUGGUCCCGCGGCGUAUUAGCUAGAUGGUGGGGUAACGGCUCACCAUGGCAAUGAUACGUAGCCGACCUGAGAGGGUAAUCGGCCACAUUGGGACUGAGACACGGCCCAAACUCCUACGGGAGGCAGCAGUAGGGAAUCUUCCACAAUGGACGAAAGUCUGAUGGAGCAACGCCGCGUGAGUGAAGAAGGGUUUCGGCUCGUAAAACUCUGUUGUUAAAGAAGAACAUAUCUGAGAGUAACUGUUCAGGUAUUGACGGUAUUUAACCAGAAAGCCACGGCUAACUACGUGCCAGCAGCCGCGGUAAUACGUAGGUGGCAAGCGUUGUCCGGAUUUAUUGGGCGUAAAGCGAGCGCAGGCGGUUUUUUAAGUCUGAUGUGAAAGCCUUCGGCUCAACCGAAGAAGUGCAUCGGAAACUGGGAAACUUGAGUGCAGAAGAGGACAGUGGAACUCCAUGUGUAGCGGUGAAAUGCGUAGAUAUAUGGAAGAACACCAGUGGCGAAGGCGGCUGUCUGGUCUGUAACUGACGCUGAGGCUCGAAAGUAUGGGUAGCAAACAGGAUUAGAUACCCUGGUAGUCCAUACCGUAAACGAUGAAUGCUAAGUGUUGGAGGGUUUCCGCCCUUCAGUGCUGCAGCUAACGCAUUAAGCAUUCCGCCUGGGGAGUACGGCCGCAAGGCUGAAACUCAAAGGAAUUGACGGGGGCCCGCACAAGCGGUGGAGCAUGUGGUUUAAUUCGAAGCUACGCGAAGAACCUUACCAGGUCUUGACAUACUAUGCAAAUCUAAGAGAUUAGACGUUCCCUUCGGGGACAUGGAUACAGGUGGUGCAUGGUUGUCGUCAGCUCGUGUCGUGAGAUGUUGGGUUAAGUCCCGCAACGAGCGCAACCCUUAUUAUCAGUUGCCAGCAUUAAGUUGGGCACUCUGGUGAGACUGCCGGUGACAAACCGGAGGAAGGUGGGGAUGACGUCAAAUCAUCAUGCCCCUUAUGACCUGGGCUACACACGUGCUACAAUGGAUGGUACAACGAGUUGCGAACUCGCGAGAGUAAGCUAAUCUCUUAAAGCCAUUCUCAGUUCGGAUUGUAGGCUGCAACUCGCCUACAUGAAGUCGGAAUCGCUAGUAAUCGCGGAUCAGCAUGCCGCGGUGAAUACGUUCCCGGGCCUUGUACACACCGCCCGUCACACCAUGAGAGUUUGUAACACCCAAAGUCGGUGGGGUAACCUUUUAGGAACCAGCCGCCUAAAGGUGGACCAAAAUG